rnacentral:rRNA from 1 species
AGGACGAACGCUGGCGGCGUGCUUAACACAUGCAAGUCGAACGAGGUCAUCCAGCUUGCUGGAGAAGCCUAGUGGCGAACGGGUGAGUAACACGUGAGCAACCUGCCCCGAAGACUGGGAUAACAGCGGGAAACCGCUGCUAAUACCGGAUAUCCCCACCGAGUCGCAUGGCUUGGUGAGGAAAGGAUUCUGCUUCGGGAGGGGCUCGUGGCCUAUCAGCUAGUUGGUGGGGUAACGGCCUACCAAGGCAACGACGGGUAGCUGGUCUGAGAGGACGAUCAGCCACACUGGGACUGAGACACGGCCCAGACUCCUACGGGAGGCAGCAGUGGGGAAUCUUGCGCAAUGGGCGAAAGCCUGACGCAGCAACGCCGCGUGAGGGAUGAAGGUCUUCGGGUUGUAAACCUCUUUCAAGCAGGGACGAUAAUGACGGUACCUGCAGAAGAAGCUCCGGCCAACUACGUGCCAGCAGCCGCGGUAA